GUCGAAACCGUCGGACUCAAUAAUCGCGCUCUUCGCUUUCAAGAAGGUUGUGGCUUCGUAAUAGAUAUACGCUGGUUUUAUUUGCAGUUAUCUUAAAAAGCGGUGUACUACCUCAUUUGUAUGCUUUGACAUUGCUCUCGAAAACACAUUAAAGGCUCUUCACAAAGAUAAGCCACCCCUCCACUGGAACCAUCACUCUUUCACUGACAAGUUCCUGUACUUCACCUCUGCAGAAGAUGCUGUGUUGGUAGGUGUGGACAGACAGUCCCUCGGCACAACCCUGAUGGCCGCCGGUCUGACCUGAGCAGGAAAGCCUAUAAAUGAGGCUGUAACAGGGGAGUGGCAAAAUAACAACGGGUGGAAAUACCUCUUGGCAGGCAAGUGUGGAGAGCACAUCUGCUGUGAUGUGAAUUAUAACUCCGUUCUCCACAGCAGGCUUUUAGUGUGUGCAAACUUUCAGCAAAUAUUGUCUCCGCAGACAAAAUACUCCAGACUGCAGACAGAAAUAGGUUUUUUAUUACGAUUUUGUCCGACGAAAUUCAUUGUUAAGUUCCAGUAAUGUGUCUGUAUCUUUGUGUGCUAGUCAGCUUACACAACACUGGCCAAAUUUUCCCAUUUAUUAUGUAGCAUUCGUGGUUUGACUGAUGAAGUGGCGCCUGCUGAGAAGAUGGAUAGUUUCAUUGCUUUUCUU